AAGAAAAACAUCAUCAAACUCUGAAAGUGCAGCAGAAUCCAUGAAAACCUGAAUGUGGUUCAGAUCUGUGUGAAAAGAUCUUCUGACAAAACGUCACGGCCUCACACGCACAACCUGAAGGUCAGCGAGGGAUAAAAGGUCAUAGAAAUGGAGGCGGGGGCUUUAAAGGCAUUGUAGAAGCGACUCACAAAUAAAACAGCGGCAAAUCAAAUAAACUGUUCUGGAUUCAUCCGAUGAGCCAAAAACCUGCAGCUAUCGGGGAGGAACGAGGUUUUCCUCACAGCUGACCCACUGACCCACUUUCUAUUCCAGCUCACUGCCAUUCCCUACAGGAACCCAGAAAACAGAAACCCUGAAAAAGAAGUGAAAGGCAGGGAGGUGGACAAAGCAAAGCCUUAGCAGAAGAGUGUGUGUGUGUGUAUUGUGAGGGGGGGGGUACAGACUGACUGACUGAUGUUAGCAUUCCUUAAGGCCUGACUCAGCAGAUCCCAGAGAGCCCAGCUUCCUGCUAAAAACCAUUAAGGACUGGUUCAUUCUGCCAAGACCGAAUUGUACAUCCAGCUUAACAGAAGAACUUAAGGAAUGCUCCUUAAAAGAUGCAACAUUUAUCGCAUUCGAUUUAGUUGGAAGCUAAAAUUAUUAUGAAUAAAACUCAUUUAUUAGAGCAGUAUUUAAGAGUAGAAUGGUUCAAACCAGAGCAGUAACAAAUCAGAAACACAAGUUCUGUUUGAAGGACUUGGUUUUCAUUAAAGAACGUUUCAUCUCCGCUUGUGGAACGCUCCAGGCAGAGGAGGAAGCAGAACCUGAGGGAACAAACCAAUGAGGAGAGGGGGGGGGGGGGGUCACCUGCUCAUGCAAUGCCAGCACACAGCAACACCAGAGCAGAGCUGCAGCUAAAAAUAAACUGCACAGAAGCAGAAAAGGAGCCACGCUCUUCGUCUCAGUCGCUGCUCACAUCUAAGCAGGUUUGGAGAAAACGUUUCACACAAAGAUUGAUCCAUUACCGCUGGUACUUUCUAUUUCUACCCAGUACUACAUAUUCAAUAAUACUUUCUACUACAAACUUGUCAGCAGUUUAUUUCUUCCUCUUUUAUUUCCAUAUUUAAAUGUAUAUUUUCUUGCUGUCAUGUAAAGUGGGACAUGCAAAAAAGAACUAGUUUGUGGCCUGAGUUGAGCUGAGAGAACAUCAUAACAUAGCUGUUAUAAUUCUGAAGCACUAACCCGUCUAACCCGCCUAAAUCACCUUCAGGUGACCAACUGGCUGAUAGACAUACAGAGCACUCGUCUGAUGGACUUUUGGAGAUUUGAGAGACUAAAGUAAAACUACAUCCUGUCACCAAAAAUACUUUUUUUCUUUUUUUAAAUGUCUGGCCUCCAUGACAUCCACAUCUGAAACCACGGACAAAAAAAUGCACCCCACCCCAGAGGAAGCCCACAUGGAAGCAAUUAUGGACGCGCAGAUGUGGAGAUCCAGGGAACAAAAGAAAGAACUGAAAGACAACCGAACCUGAAGGGAAUCCGUAAAACAGUUUGUCUCUAUCAUCAUGUGUCAUGGUCUGAAGACAGCAUUUUUAAAUCAACACUCAAACAGUGGUGUGUUCACUUGCUCUGGGUCUAAAUAAAUCUACAGGGGAUUGGUUCUUCUGAUACCAGCAGGGAGCUUAGGACCCAACCUGCAGGAGACCAGGCUUGGUGGCAGAAACUCAAACUUUUAAUAAAUAAUCCUUCAACAUGGCAAAAACCGUGGACAAACAAAACAGCAGAACUGAAAACCAGAUGCUUAUGUACUCCCGGGACAAAUAACAGAAAUGAAAAUAAUUGUAGAAGGAAAGAAACAUAAACCUGGAGAGACUAACAGUGAACAGCUCAGAACAUGACCAAAACCACCACUUCAAAACCAAAUAAACCACAGAAUCCUCACAAAAACAGGAGAAUAAAUGAAAGAUUCUUUGUUUUCCAUAAAAAAGCAAUGGUUGCAAUAGUGCAGAAUCAGAUCCUCUUCACUGGAGGGUCCAACAUGUGGAUAGCAGAGAAAAGACAGGAGUCUUCACUGUAAAGAGAAGAGGAGCAUUAUGGGAAUAGGCUCCACAUUUGAACCACUAACCCUUACCUAACAAUGUCUUAUCACUAACCCAAUUGUUUUACUACUUACUGUAACCACUGUUUAUUACUAACCCUAACAAGGUUUUACCACUAACCCUAAACACAUUUUACAUUUGACAGACUGACUAACAGCUGUUUAUUUCCCCUCUAGAACUCUAUGAAAUUUUGGCUUCUUGGAACCAGCGGGUACUUCCUGUUUGGAAUGCCAGGGGGAGGGGCCACUCUCCCCAGUUCUAAUAGACAGUCAAUGGUUAAGACACAAUGCACUAUACAGUCACACCCUUCUUCUCUCUCUCUCUCUCUCUCUCUCACAUACACACACAAAUACACACACACACACUUGUGGGGUUUACUGUCUUGCCCAAGGACUCUUCAGCGCAUGGGUGGGCAAAGCAGAACUGAACUUAGACCCUCAAAUCAGAGGUCGGCCGCUCUACCUCUGCACCACAGCUACACUGUUGAACAAAAAAACUAGAAAACAGAGCAAUCAUACAAGUAGAGACGGUUAAUUCCUGACAUACUGGUUUAUCUGCAAAACAGGAAAGCUGACGUCUGAACGAGAGAAACCCGAGCCUGAACCACGGGGGUGGAGAGGAGAAUCCAAAGAAAACCCACUCAGACCUUCUCAGAAGUUCACCCUCUUUCAGUCAACGCUGACUGUCACCACAAAUGAGAAGCCUUCUUUAAAUAACUCUAUAGAUCACAGAACGUCAACCACUUCCCUUUCCGUCAGUCAGCAGAUGAGUCGACAGCUAGCAGACGGCGACAGCUCCAUGAAAACAUUUCAAGUCCUUCAGACACAUCUCUGACUGUCAGUGAAGAAAACGGAAGGGGGAGAGGGGCAUCUACCAGGGGGGCCUCCUUCACUUCAGUCAUGUGACCCACAGGAGAGCAAAGGGAACCAGGAGCCUUCUUUUUACAGAAGAUCCAUGACAUUCACAGCUUCGUUCAUGACCCAUGAGGAUGAUAAUGAUGAACCGUUUCCUCUUCGCUCUGUCUCUCAGACAGGAACAGGUCUCAGGCGUCAUAUUGCUGGUUCGAAUUUUGGUUUUAGGACGAUCCUUCAGAAAUGCUCCACAGCGGAAAGUCACGUGACUACGACAGGAGACGCUGGAUUCCCCCAAACAGAGAUUAACGCCACGUUUAUCUAAAGGUCCCGGGCUGCUGGAGCCUAUCCUGGCCACUUGUGGGCGACAUGAAGAAAACCGAUCGGCCUCUAACAUCUCCAGAAAAGUUUCCCUCCAGCUUCACUCAAAUGUUGCUUUUUAAAUGCAAAACAGACAGAAGCUGUAAAACGACGGCAGCAUCCAACAGCCCCAAAGCAGAUGAAGCUUCUGCCUCAGAUGAUCACUGGAACCUUCUCCACCAUCAGUCUGAACCAAACAGACCUCCUCCCUGCAGCAGCAGAGGAACUCCUGACCUCUGCUGUGGGUAAACAUGUCAGUUGGGGGGGGGGGGGGGGGCAGUUCACCACAAUGAACUUGUUGACCCCCCCCCUACGUUCUGAGGCCCAUGGAGCUUUAGCACAGCGCCAUCAAGCCAGCUGAAAUCAGCUCUGUGUAGGAUCUUCCUCAAGGCUGCCUCCCACCACAACGCCAAAGCCUCUGUUGGAUCCACAUUACAGAGGAAGACACACCCGUAUAUCAUAAAACAGAAAAAAAAACAGCUGCCAGUCAGACAACACAUGCAUAUUCUGACCAACAUGACAUCCAGAGAGGUUCAGGAACAUCCAGAGAGGUGGAGGUUUGCUCUGGAGAGGAAUGAAGAGCACCUGCUGCAGGACAGACUGUUUAUGAAUGAGAGGAAGUGAAGAGGAUCGGCAAGGUCACAGGGAGCAGAGGUGGAGGACUUUAAAUUGUUAGGAUCAACAGCCCAGGAUAACAAGAGUGUGGUAAAGAGAAGAGGCUAGCAGGUUCCAACAGGUGGAGGAAGGUUCCAGGAGAACCAAGGUCGGUGAGAGUGAGAAAGGUACAGAGGAGGUGAAUGAUCUGCCGUAGCUCCCCCUAAAUGGAGUAGCUUUUGGGCACAGGAUGCUGAAAUUGUGUCUUAUUGAGAGAUGUUGGAAUCUUUGUCUUCAUCCACAUCAAAAAGGAUUCCUGAGCAGCAGAACAAACGUUCCUUCAAAGUGAGGAUCUGCUGCCACCAAGAGGCCGUAACUGUUACUACAGCUUGUACUGAUGCUGAAAAAUGUCUCGAGAUUGAGUUCUAAAUUAAAGUCUAAAAGGGUAAAAAAAAAUAAACACAUAAAACUGG